GGCCCUGAUGGCUUGUUUGAGACGAAGGACCACCACUGAGCCCUGAUUAGCACACAUUCAGGAGCUGGUGCAUGCUUAAAAGAGUUAUAUGGUUGUUUCAGUGAUUUUCCUUUUCCCUUGAGACCUAUUUGCUGCAACAAGAAAUAAGAAUGACCAAACUCUUGUAUUGACAGUGAGGUUUUAACUGUGUUAGCUGUUACCGUCUUGUCUUCUUUUCUUUGCCGUCCACGUCAAAUAUGGUCACCUGUAAGUUGAUCUUGCCCGGUGUCAGGAAACGGCAUCACAAUUAUCAAAAGCUGUUAUCAUAUUCUGAUGGCU
rnacentral:lncRNA from 7 species